rfam:Streptomyces hygroscopicus ATCC 53653 genomic scaffold supercont1.1, whole genome shotgun sequence.
CUUCACCGAGCCCAGCCACAACGGCUCACCGCCGUCACGGCCCUGACCGUACGUGGCCAGCAGGGCCUGCGCCUC